UUGCUUUCUUCAGCAGCACACACACAAAAAUUAGAACAAUAUAUACAAAGAUUAGCAUGGGCCUUGUGCAAGGAUGAUAUGCAAACUUGUGAAGUAUUCCAUAUUUUU